GCUUACCAUGCAAGUCGAACGAUGAACCACUUCGGUGGGGAUUAGUGGCGAACGGGUGAGUAACACGUGGGCAAUCUGCCCUUCACUCUGGGACAAGCCCUGGAAACGGGGUCUAAUACCGGAUACCACUGCUCCGGGCAUCUGGGGUGGUUGAAAGCUCCGGCGGUGAAGGAUGAGCCCGCGGCCUAUCAGCUUGUUGGUGAGGUAACGGCUCACCAAGGCGACGACGGGUAGCCGGCCUGAGAGGGCGACCGGCCACACUGGGACUGAGACACGGCCCAGACUCCUACGGGAGGCAGCAGUGGGGAAUAUUGCACAAUGGGCGCAAGCCUGAUGCAGCGACGCCGCGUGAGGGAUGACGGCCUUCGGGUUGUAAACCUCUUUCAGCAGGGAAGAAGCGCAAGUGACGGUACCUGCAGAAGAAGCGCCGGCUAACUACGUGCCAGCAGCCGCGGUAAUACGUAGGGCGCAAGCGUUGUCCGGAAUUAUUGGGCGUAAAGAGCUCGUAGGCGGCUUGUCACGUCGGGUGUGAAAGCCCGGGGCUUAACCCCGGGUCUGCAUUCGAUACGGGCAGGCUAGAGUGUGGUAGGGGAGAUCGGAAUUCCUGGUGUAGCGGUGAAAUGCGCAGAUAUCAGGAGGAACACCGGUGGCGAAGGCGGAUCUCUGGGCCAUUACUGACGCUGAGGAGCGAAAGCGUGGGGAGCGAACAGGAUUAGAUACCCUGGUAGUCCACGCCGUAAACGGUGGGAACUAGGUGUUGGCGACAUUCCACG
rnacentral:rRNA from 1 species